rnacentral:rRNA from 1 species
GACGUAGGGCGCGAGCGUUGUCCGGAUUUAUUGGGCGUAAAGAGCUCGUAGGUGGCUUGUCGCGUCUGCCGUGAAAGCCCAUGGCUUAACUGUGGGUCUGCGGUGGAUACGGGCUGGCUAGAGGUAGGUAGGGGCGAGCGGAAUUCCGGGUGUAGCGGUGGAAUGCGUAGAGAUCCGGAAGAACACCGGGGGCGAAGGCGGCUCGCUGGGCAUGGUCCGACGCUGAGGCGCGAAAGCGUGGGGAGCGAACAGG